rnacentral:rRNA from 1 species
GAGAGUUUGUAACACCCAAAGUCGGUGGGGUAACCUUUUAGGAACCAGCCGCCUAAGGUGGGACAGAUGAUUAGGGUGAAGUCGUAACAAGGUAGCCGUAGGAGAACCUGCGGCUGGAUCACCUCCUUU